GCUCCUUCUCCAGCCCCGUGCCGACCCACAGCAGCCAUGGUGGCUGACCAAGAGGAGGAAACCCUCCUGUGCUGCUCCGCCUCCCAGCGUGGGGAUUGUUUCAUACGGGCGGACGUUCCACGGACCCUAGCUUUCUUUCCCAUGGAUUCAUAGCGCAACACCCCUCCCCUUCUCCUCCAUCCUCUCUCGUCAGCAGCCGUCCCCAUAUUCCACCUCCAUCGUCUCUGUCCGACGCUGAGCAGCGGCUCACCCCACAGCCCCUUCUCCACCCACGACCAAUGGUUGGGGAGGCGGGGUCUUUUCGCUGGGGUGGAGCAGGGGAGGCCCAGGAGGCCAGCGGUGGGGGAGCAGCGACGCCGGCCUGCUGGGAUGGUGCAGCGAGGCGCCGUGGUUGUGGUUGGUUUAUCCUCCUAUCUCCAGAUCCCCUCUUGCUCAUCAUUCUCCUCUCCCGAUAUCUUCCUCUUUUGUUUGUGUUCCUCCGAUUUGCAAGGAUUGUGGGAAGAAAAAUAUGUGUAUGAGUUGUUUCUUCUUCGGUGAAAGUCUCUUUCAUGCUGGUCUAUUGAUACCUUGUUGCUUUGUUCAUGACUGACUCUGUUCCUGUCUUUCUUUUCCUUUAUAAUUUUGCAGGUGGUUGUUCUACCCUUUCUGUUUUAUCAGUUUUGACCAUGGUACCGAAAUUACAUCUGAUCAAUGGUGUCAACUGUAGCCAGUUACCAUCUACGUUUUGUGAAAAUUUAUGUCAUCUAGAUUUUAUUGCAGCAAGAUGCAUAUGUAAUAAGGACUUUGGUGUUUCAGAAGCAUCACUAUAAUCCCGACUCACUCAGCUGGUGUAUGGGGCGGUGGCUGGGACGUUGGCCCUCGGCACAAACUUGACGCCGAGUCUAGCUUAGGAGCUCCGGGAACAGUUCAAUCGAGGGGAGCUCUAGGAAUGACCCAAAACAAGGAUGAGACGGCCAACUAGAGAGGAAGAAUAAGUUUAGCUAAGAGUGGAAGAAGACCGAGGUGAAAUUUCUGCAGUUAGAUACCACAAGAGGAGGUGCAGAUAGAUGAUGUAGUAUUCAGGCGGCGAACCCAACAUCCCAACCUUUUGUAAGGUGCCUGUCAUGGUUACUGUGACGGAGGCAUAUUUAAGAAUGAUGCUGAUCCCUGAAUGCCCUUGAUGCUCGCCAAGGGUGUGUUUGUUUGGGCUACAAUUUCCAUGGCUGCAGCUGAAGGAGCGGCUGUAGCUGGUGAUGAAGAGAGGCACUUCGCAUUUGCCCACAAGAAGUACAGAGAGGCUUCAAAGCAUGGUAACAUUGUUUAUGAAAAGAAUCCACAAGGGACUGAUAACCUACUUCUUGGAGUUAUCUACUGUAAGUUUAUGACUUGGUGCUAGCUGAAGCUUCUAUUUUCUACAAAAACUGCUGUCAACAAAAGAACUCUAGAGGUCCAGGAUUUUAUCCUAAACUGCUAUUAUACUCACAAGAGGGAGCAUUUUAAUAACCAAAGAACUCUAGCCAUGCUUUGUGAUAUACUACGUAUAUGUAUGUUGUACUAGCAGUUCCUAUUUUUUAACUAUUGUGUGCCAGAUAAUUGAAUUGGCAAUGUCUGCAUAAAUAUGAUGUAUUAAAUUAUGUUAUGAGAGGGAUUUGUUCAUAUUCAAAACUAAGGAAGUUGGAUGAGCUUAAAGCACCUAUUCACCAGUUAACUGAACUUUUCUAAUUGUAUUUUAAAUCCACAAGAGGGCAAAAUCGUUGUUCUUUCCCAGACCAUCUAAAUCAGAUGGAUGGGCUCCAAACUCCCAGUGCCAUUUGUCACUUUUGUGUUUUAAUUUUUACCCAAGUGCCUUUGGACAUAUGGUACUAUGGAGAGGUGACAUUAGCACAAUUGAUGGUUGCUUCUCCUCUCCUAUCGACUACAUCUCCUUCCUCUAUAUGUCAAUAUAUCAACAAAUCAAGAGAUCUCUAAUAUCAUUGUUUUAUGGAGUUCACGGAUUGUUUAAGAUUUUUGCUGCCAUGGAAUUGUGAGUUUGUGACUAUACAUUCUUGUCCUAUAUGUGAAAUUGAAGAUAUAUUGUCUCUGUAUGUGAAUGUAAAUAUCCAGGUAUGUAAGCGAGUCAACUUUUAUUUACAUAUUUAUCUAUGAAAUACAUGCAAGCAAGUCACAUCUUACAGACAAUUGCUCCCUUAUAGGUAAAUCUGAUGAUUCAUAAACUAACCGUUUGGAGAUCUGUAGACAGUCAAGUGUAUUGAUAACUGGAGUUUAGAGCUCAAAAUCCUUCUAACUUUUCUACUAAUUGUAUUUUCUUGACAGCUUUCAGAGAAGAACAAGCACUGUUAGUCAUUCUCUGACAUGUAUAAUACAAUUCUGGAGAUGUGAAUGGAUGUAUUCAUUUGGUAGAGUAUUAGUAGAUGAUGAUUUAUUUUCUUUGCUGUCAACUGGUGUAUAUCCUGAUAUGUUUAGUCUGUUCCGAAAUUAAUUUGUAGAGUAGUCUGAACAAUUGUACAGUCUCUCAGUGUAUUAGUACUCUGUUUUUUUUGGGCAGCCGGAAGAAAUCAGUUUCUCAUGACAUGCGAAAAUGAGUUUAUUUACCUUCACUAUUGCUUUUAUUGGCUAACAAAGAUGUUUGUGAAAUAGUUAGUUAGGCAUCACAGUGAAGCUUGGCAAAGGGACUUCUCGUGAGGCCUACAAGGCUGGAAGCACUGUAUGUAA